CCUACGGGAGGCUGCAGUGGGGAAUAUUUGGCAAUGGGCGCAAUCCUGACCCAGCAACGCCGCGUGAAGGAAGAAGGCUUUCGGGUUGUAAACUUCUUUUCUCAGGGACGAAGCAAGUGACGGUACCUGCGGACUACGCCACGGCUCACUCCGUGCAAGCAGCCGCGGUAAUACGUCGGUGGCAAGCGUUAUCCGGAUUUACUGGGUGUAAAGGGCGUGUAGGCGGGACUGCAAGUCAGAUGUGAAAACCACGGGCUCAACCUGUGGCCUGCAUUUGAAACUGGAGUUCUUGAGUACUGGAGAGGCAGACGGAAUUCCUAGGGUAGCGGUGAAAUGCGUAGAUAUUAGGAGGAACACCAGUGGCGAAGGCGGUCUGCUGGACAGCAACUGACGCUGAGGCGCGAAAGCGUGGGGAGCAAACAGGAUUAGAUACCCCUGUAGUC
rnacentral:rRNA from 1 species